rnacentral:rRNA from 1 species
AGAAAUUCCAAUCGAACUCGGAGAUAGCUGGUUCUCCUCGAAAUAGCUUUAGGGCUAGCGUCGGUUAAUUGAGUAAUGGAGGUAGAGCACUGAAUAGGCUAGGGGGCAUAACGCUUACUGAACCUUAUCAAACUCCGAAUGCCAUAUACUUUUAUUCCGGCAGUCAGACUGCGAAUGAUAAGAUCCGUAGUCAAAAGGGAAACAGCCCAGACCAUCAGCUAAGGU